GCGGGUGUAGUUCAAUGGUAGAACACCAGCCUUCCAAGCUGGAUACGUGGGUUCGAUCCCCAUCACCCGCU
rnacentral:tRNA from 3 species